rnacentral:lncRNA from 1 species
CCCAGAACAAAAGGGAUCAGUUCAUCUUGUGCUGCUUCUGUUGCAAAUGGUACUGUUUCUCUUCACCACUUUGCUCUGUUUUUUUCCUCCCAUUACUUGCAAGGAAGGCUGCUCAGGCCAAGAGGCAGCAGGAAGCUGUUGACAAUGGAGAGAGGCCCCAAGACAGGCCAUAAUAGCACAAGCCAAGUGCUAGGAAUUUAGCAGCUGAGAGAAGAUGAGCAACAAGACAAAAAUGUUAUCCUGGCAAGGAAGUGCUCAAGGAUGUAAUUAACAAUGGUACAUCCUGUUCUGGCUACUUUCCUCACUUUGCCUGCUGAUGUAUUUCUUGACGAAUGGCUCAUUUCACCCCAAGCCACAUAAUCAGUACUCCUCUUCUUCCCUUGUUGAAGAUUUGAAAAAUGUACUUGCAGAAAUCUGUACAGGCUAAGCAUGAAUUUCCUUCAUUUUUCAGUCCUGAGCCAAGUCUUUACUCUUUGAAGAUGUCAUUAAAACCACCUCAAAGUCUCUCUGCCUCACACUGUUAUUUUCAGGAAUUGCUUAAAGAGAGAGUGCUGUGACAAACAUGAAGAGAGCAACUGCUGCCCAGAGAACGGAAGUGGGUUACAGCUCGGAGGCAAUUUGCAGGGGAAAGAGAACAUGAGGUUUGAUCAAAUGCCAAAUUAAUUUGUUGCAAGUUCACUUGUGUAAAUAGACAUCAUCUAAGACCUCCUAGUGUGUCAUUAGAAGGGUAAUAUCAGUCGUGUCUUACAGAUGGGAAAAUUGACGAACGGAAAGAUUAAGUGACUUUCCUAUGGUGUAAAAACAGGUCACUGACAAAGCUGAGAGAACUGAAGCUUCUGGAAUCCCAUAUUUUUCCACUGUUGGACCAUGUUGGCUCAAUUACAGGGAUGAGAAUACUAAGAAAACCAAGCCUGGGGUGCUCUUUGCCUCCAACCUCAUUGCAUUGGUUGCAUGCUAUUCUUCUAGAGAACUACUUCAAGGAUUGCAGCAAAAGAAUGUGCUUCUAAGAGCCAUUUUGAUGAAAUCCCAAAACUAGCAGCAGCAAGCAAACCUUUCUCACUUCAUAGCUUGAUAAUAAACCUCACCAGUUGACAGUUUAUUUUCUAUCC